AAACCCGGAUUUGGUUUAAAUAAUUUUUUUAAGUAGUCAUUACUUAUUCUUUCAUGUUUUGGAAAAAAAUAUUGCCAUUACUAAAUAAAACUAGCUGUUAGUAAUAUUUACUUGAAAUAUUCAGUGCAAUAAUCAUGUUAAGCAAAGAUAACUAAAUGUGUUAAAUUUUUGAGAGGGAGGGGAGGGGCCAGUUUGAAACAGCAACAGAACGCUGCAGGAGAAGAGUUGCUUGUUAGACGACUUAUGGCUGCUGCACCCCAAACCUGUGGGUUCUGAAAUCUGUUACUUCAAAUGGUUGUUUUGAAGAUGCAGUGGAAGUACCAAAGAGCCUACUGACAUCCGGACACUGGUGCUCAAAGGGCUUCCUAUUGUCCUUGGGGACAGUCCUGCAGACUUCUACAAAGAAUACUCUGACUCUGAUGACUCAUUCCUCCACCUUGACAUUGCUUUGCUCUUCCCACCCCCCCACCUCAGUCCAGCCUAUCUGAAGAUUGUCAUUGAGGGAGAAGUUCUGAUGGACAACAUUCAAGACCUGCCAAAAGCUAUGUGCAUUCUGUUUGGUCUUACAUAUGCCCUCCAUCUAAACUAUCCCAAAUCAAUGAGAAACACAUUCCAGUUCAUCCAACAGGUACUUCUCUCACUGGGCCACAUUGAACUUAAACCCAAAUUACAAUCGCUGAAAAACCAGCUUACAUUGUAAGAAACUGCUGUGCCAAGUUUAAUGUGAAAAGGCAUAGCUGCUUUGUUUUUCCAGUGCCUUUUCCCCACUACAGUCUUGUGUGACUGUAUUCAUUGUAUUGUCAUUGUCCUUGAACCAGUGCUAAAAAAGAAAUGUUAAACUGGGUUGUUCCAUUUUGUAUUAUGCUGAUUUAAGUUUAUUGUGGGAUGGAAAUGUCCAAUUACUUCUGUCAUGUCACUUCAGACAUUUUUUAGGACUGCAUGUCAGUCCUCAAUUGACAGGAUAUACUUAAAGACGAGCUCUGGUGUGAAAUUGACUUUGGGUGUAGUUAGUAAAACAUGAUAAAGUACCUACCUUUGUUGAAUAGCCAAGCUCCAUUCUCCCACAGCUUUCCGAGAUCCAGCAAUUUUGUGCUGUUCGUCCAAACAGGCUUUAGAAUGAGUGAAACAGGGUAUGUUUACCCCUGCAGAUUAACCUCUUUUUACACUGUUAUCCAGGCUCAAAUUAGCUCCACACCUCAUUAGUAGAAACCAGAGAGCACUGGCAUUUGAAACUAGGUUUUAAGAAAUUAAAAGUGCACAAGAAGUAUAUUAAAAAAUUCUUGAUCACGUCUUCAUUUUAAGAUGAUGGUGCCCGGAGAUUCAGCUAUGUUACGGGUUGUAAACAGUGUUUUUUAAUAAACUUCUUGUGCACUUUUAAAUUUCUUAAAGCCUCGUUUCAAAUGCCAGUGCUCUUUGGUUUCUACCAAUGGAGUGGAGUGGAGCCUGGAUAACAGUGUAAAAAGCGAUUUAUCUACAGGGUAAAAUAUGCCCUGUAUCACCCAUUCUAAAGCCUGUUUGGAAAACAGCACAAAAUUGCUGGAUCUCAGAAAUCUGCGGGAGAACGGAGGUGGGCUAUUCAACAAAGGUUAGUACUCAUUAUAAUGUUUUACUACACCCAAAGUCAAUUUCACACCGAAGUUCUCCUUUAACACAGUUGAUUAGUCAAGUUAUAACUUUAUCAACUUGUAUCAAGUUUUGAUGUGUCUUCAAAAGUUAAUUUGUUCACAAGUAUAUAGCAGGUAUUGUUCAAUGCUGUGCAUAUGUUUGGGAUAUUUGGGAAAUGUUCAUCAAUAUGUGUUCUACAAUUCAGCGUGGAGACACAUUUCCUCAGGACUGCAUAUUAGUGUUAAAUAGUGUUGUACACUAUUUAGUGUACACUAUUUGAGGGAGAACUCUGGUUUGAAACUUUGAAAACUUUGAAACUCUGGUUUAAGACUUUGGGUGUAGUGAAGCAUGAUUACGUGUACUAACCUUUGUUGAAUAGCCCACCUUUGUUCACUCCCAGCAUUCUGAAAGUUUCUCCAAACAGGCUUUAGAAUGGACGCUAGAGAGCAUGUUGUUGCUCCUGCAGAUACAUCGCUUUUUACAUCGUUUACAAACUCAAAUUAGCUCCAAACCUCAUUCUUUUUAAUUGACCGUUUACAUUGCGUAGCAUAAGCUAAUUCUGUUUGGACAAACUGCAUAUUUUUUUUUUUAAUCUGCAGGGGCAACCACAUGCCCUCUAGUGUCUAUUCUAAAGCCAGUUUAGAAAAACUUUUGGAAUACUGGGGAGAACAGAGGUGGGCUAUUCAACAAAGGUUGGUAUUUGUAAUCAUGUUUCACUACACCCCAAGUCCAUUUUACACCUUUAACUCCUUUAAGACAGUUCACUUGUCAAGUUGAUGUUUUAACAGCUUGUAUCAAGUUUUAGUGUAUGUGUGAUACAGCAGAUUUGUUAAAUGUUGUGUGUUCUGAAAAUGAACAAAACAAACUUUUAGCAUUUAAGUUUUAAUGCCCAUUUUAAUGCCCAUUUUUUCCCUUGUACUUGGUUGGCAACAUUGUUAUUGAUUCAGCAACACGUGAGCUGUAACCUUUUAUUGUCAAUAAAAUACUUUGAAACAUUGAAAA